rnacentral:tRNA from 3 species
GGACGGGUGGCCGAGUGGCUUAAGGCGCACGACUGGAAAUCGUGUGGGCGUCAGCCCGCGUGGGUUCGAAUCCCACCCCGUCCG